UGUGAACUUUUAAGGUCAGCUUGGGCUAU
rnacentral:piRNA from 1 species